rnacentral:rRNA from 1 species
AAAAAAAAGUAGCGAAGUCCGGAUACAUGCUGUCAAGAAAAGCCGCUAUUGCGCCAUAUGUACCCGUACCGUAAACCGACACAGGUGGAUGAGGAGAGAAUCCUAAGGCCGGCGGGAGAAGUGUUGUUAAGGAACUCGGCAAAAUGGCCCCGUAACUUCGGGAGAAGGGGCGCCCAGAAAUGGGCCGCAGAGAAAAGGCUCAAGCAACUGUUUAGCAAAAACACAGGUCUAUGCGAAACCGAAAGGUGAGGUAUAUGGGCUGACGCCUGCCCGGUGCUGGAAGGUUAAGGGGAGAGGUUAGCCGCAAGGCGAAGCUUUGAACUUAAGCCCCAGUAAACGGCGGCCGUAACGAUAACGGUCCUAAGGUAGCGAAAUUCCUUGUCGGGUAAGUUCCGACCCGCACGAAAGGCGUAAUGAUUUGAGCACUGUCUCGACAACACACCCGGUGAAAUUGAAAUACCAGUGAAGAUGCUGGUUACCUGCGCCAGGACGGAAAGACCCCAUGGAGCUUUACUCUAGUUUGAUACUGGGACCCGGUAUGACAUGUACAGGAUAGGUGGGAGGCAGAGAAUUAAUGACGCCAGUCAUUAAGGAGCCGGUGUUGGGAUACCACCCUUGUGAUGCCAGGUUUCUAACGAGCUGCCGUGAACCGGCAGGCGGACAAUGUCAGGCGGGGAGUUUGACUGGGGCGGUCGCCUCCGAAAGGGUAUCGGAGGCGCUCAAAGGUUCCCUCAGAAUGGUUGGAAACCAUUCGGAGAGUGCAAAGGCAGAAGGGAGCCUGACUGCGACACCGACGGGUGGAGCAGGUACGAAAGUAGGACUUAGUGAUCCGGUGGUAUAAAGUGGGAUUGCCAUCGCUCAACGGAUAAAAGCUACCCUGGGAUAACAGGCUUAUCACUCCCAAGAGUUCACAUCGACGGAGUGGUUUGGCACCUGAUGUCGGCUCAUCGCAUCCUGGGGCUGGAGUAGGUCCCAAGGGUUGGGCUGUUCGCCCAUUAAAGCGUUACGCGAGCUGGGUUCAGAACGUCGUGAGACAGUUCGGUCCCUAUCCGGCGCGGGCGUAAGAGAUUUGAGAGGAGCUGUCCUUAGUACGAGAGGACCGGGAUGGACGGACCACUGGUGUAUCUGUUGCACCACCAGGUGCACGGCAGAGUAGCCAAGUCUGGAAGGGAUAAACGCUGAAGGCAUCUAAGCGUGAAGCCCCCCUCAAGAUAAGAUCUCUCAUUCGAAAGAAGUAAGACCCCUUGAAGACGACGAGGUAGAUAGGGCAGGGGUGGAAGGGCAGUAAUGUCCGGAGCUGACUGUUACUAAUCGGUCGAGGGCUUGACC